GGGCCGGGCUGGGCCGGCCGGGGCGGGGCCCGCGACUGCUCCGGGCGGCGAUGGCGGCGGACGGGGACUGGCAGGAUUUCUAUGAGUUCCAGCAGCCGACCCGGAGCCUCCUGGACCAGGAGAACUGUAACGCGAGCCCCGAGGCCGGGGCGGGGGCGGGGGCCGGGGCCGGGCCGGGCGGGGGCGCCGACGGUUUCCCGGCCCUGGCCUGCAGCUUGGAGGAGAAGCUGAGCCUGUGCUUCCGCCCCUCGGAUCCGGGCGCCGAGCCCCCGAGGGCGGCCGUGCGGCCCAUCACGGAGCGCAGCCUCCUGCAGGGGGACGAGAUUUGGAAUGCCCUGACGGAUAAUUAUGGGAAUGUGAUGCCUGUAGACUGGAAGUCAUCGCAUACUAGGACCUUGCACUUGCUUACUCUGAACCUCUCAGAAAAAGGGGUAAGUGACAGUUUGCUCUUUGAUACGUCAGAUGAUGAAGAGCUGAGAGAACAGUUGGAUAUGCACUCAAUCAUCGUCUCCUGUGUUAGUGAUGAGCCCCUCUUCACGGCAGACCAGGUUAUUGAAGAAAUUGAAGAAAUGAUGCAGGAAUCACCGGACCCAGAAGAUGAUGAAACCCCUACACAGUCAGAUCGGCUUUCAAUGCUUUCCCAGGAAAUUCAAACUCUUAAGAGGUCUAGUACCAGCAGUUAUGAAGAGAGAGUGAAAAGGCUCUCAGUGUCUGAGUUAAAUGAAAUCCUAGAAGAAAUUGAGACUGCCAUUAAGGAGUACUCUGAGGAGCUGGUGCAGCAGUUGGCUUUACGAGAUGAACUGGAGUUUGAAAAGGAAGUGAAAAACAGCUUUAUUUCUGUUCUUAUUGAAGUGCAAAACAAACAGAAAGAGCACAAAGAAACAGCAAAAAAGAAAAAGAAGCUAAAAAAUGGCAGCUCUCAGAAUGGGAAGAAUGAGAGAAGUCAUAUGCCUGGCACACGCUUCAGCAUGGAAGGGAUCUCAAAUGUCAUUCAGAAUGGCCUCCGCCACACCUUUGGAAAUUCAGGUGGAGAGAAACAGUAUUUGACUACAGUCAUUCCUUAUGAGAAGAAAAACGGACCACCAUCUGUUGAAGAUCUUCAAAUAUUAACAAAAAUUCUUCGUGCCAUGAAGGAGGACAGUGAAAAAGUUCCGAGCUUGUUAACUGAUUAUAUUCUGAAAGAGCCCAUUGCUACAGUGUGUGAGCAGAUGAAACCCUGAUUAGUCCCAGAAUGCUACAAAGGAGAAGAGGAGGACUUUUUUUUUUUUUAGAGUAUGCUGAGCUGCUGUGGAGUGACAGAAGUCCUGCUCUUUCUCUGGGGCUGUGAGACAUUUCAGACAAACAGCCAUGCAGCCCCUCCCACAGACGACAUGGGACCUGCUAUAGGAAGCUUUCACAAUUCCACUUGAACACUGCCGGAGGCCUGGAAAGGAUACCGAAGUGAGAAGAGGAAGCUGCUUGCGGAAGAAGCAAGAUCAGUUGCUUCCCAGGGCAUAGGGUGAGACCCAAACAAACCGAAAUCAAACAUUGCUUAUUUUUGUUGUGAUAACUUUAGACCAGUUCCAAAGUUAGCGUGGUGCACGACAACCAGAAUGUUUUCAUUCUUACACUCUCUAAACAAUACACAGACAAUCAUCCUGUUUCCCCUUCUUUUAAAUCACACCUCUCAUCUUUCGUUUCAAUCUCUUUAGCACUAACUGUGACAACCUGGGCCUCCGUGUAGGGCCACGGCAACUGACGGCUCUGAAGAAUGUGCAAGAGGUAUACGUCUCCUCCCUAUGAGGGUGUGCCCUGAUGAUCAAUGCCAUGUACUCUGUUCCCAGGAAUCACAGUGGAUCAUGCACAAGUCCCUUACAAGUUGUCUCCAGCAGGCUGUAGAAGAGCGGAAGCUGCACCCAACUACCUAUUAACCCACCUAGGAACGGAAAAUGUUUUAUGCUGAAUCUUUACAUCUAAACUGACUGCAUAAUAAAGAUCCUGGUUUUGCUAGCUGGUGUGACACCAGCUCCUGUCUCCUUGUCUCCUUCCCUGCAAAGCCUUCUGAUCUACCUGUUGCCAUCUUUUGACUUUUCACAGCCUCCCCUGAACCUGAAAUUAGUAUCUUAAUCAAGAAAGAGCUUAUGAAAGAACAACAAAAGGUAAAAAUCUGGGCUGAGGUCAGAUAUCUAUUGGGUAGCUAUCUAUUCGGUUAAAACCUUACUGAAACUGCCAGUUUUGCAGGUCGAAAUGGUCAAACAGCAUUUCCUUAUGUUCAAGAUAAUACAACUCACAUCAGUUAUCUUUUAACAGGUAUGUUUACAUUCACUCAGGUAACAAAAGGGGAUCCCAUCAUGACCCAUAUUUGCCCAGGAAGUCUGUUACAUCUAUAAAUGAUAUGAAUCCCAUGUAGUUUAAAAAAAUUCUUCAGUAAGAUUAUUCUAGAUGCUCUGGUUAACACACACUGCAGGAGGUAUUCUUCCCUUUCACCGAUGGGAACAGGAGUUACACAGCUUAGUCAAGUGACCUGAUUUUAAAUAGGGUUUCCUGUUCUCUGUGUUUUCCACUAGAAGAGACUAGAUUUUCCUCUACUGAGUCAUGAAGAGGAAAUGCUAAACUACAGAAGAACUGAUGCAUGCAAUCUGUACCGUCCUCACCACGUUCUUUCUCUUCAUUUUAAUACUUUUUGUCCUCCCUAAUCUUUCCCCUACCCUUUAUCCCCAUCUCUGGAGAAGGAGCAAGCGAAGGAAAGGAGAACACAAAAGGGGCAGAGGAAACAGACUACCAUGACAAACGCUGCAGUGAGCCGAUUUCAACACUUCCCCUCAUUUCUGAAGCCCUCUCCCCAAUUUCCAGUUCUAGUCCAAUCUCCCCCUGCCCAAGUCUCCAUCUCUCCCAAAUCAUGCCACAUCCAUCCUAAGGCUCAGUUCCCGAACUUCUGCAGUCAAAAUUUAUCUUCCAUUACUCCUCAUUUUAUGUAUCACUUUCUCAGCCUAGUAUUCAACACUCUGAAGUCCAUAUACCCCUUUUCCAAUUCUGUUUCCCAGUAUUUCCCUUCAUUUUCCAGUGCUACGGUUAUGCUCUUUUCUCCAAGUCAGUCCCCACUUUGCUGUCUCUGCACUGCCUGCCCUAAUGGCCCCUGCACAUUCCUCAUCCAGCCCUUACGCUCAGUUGUCUUUCUAGGCCAAUCUCAGAUAAUAGCUUCCUCUCUGAACUCUCAAACACCACACUUUUCUUACAGCACCCUCUUUCUCUAUUUUGUGGUAACGUGAGGACUCAUUUUAACAUAAGCUCUUUUAGUACCUACCAUGCUUAGUCAUAUAAAUGUUUCUUACGUGGAAGUGAACUGGAGAUUAACAAGACAGGAAUAACAUUAACACAACAGAACAAAAACACAAAAGAAAGUGAGGAGAGCACUGAGACUUCUAUACUGUGAACUCAUAAAGGCCACCUCAGGCAGACCUAUUUGCACGACACCUUGAGUAGAAGUGCUAAGGGUUUUAAAAAAUGAAACAAAAUAGCUUUAUUGAGAUAUAAUUCACUUACCAUAACAUUCACCCUUUUAAAGUACACAAUUCAGUGGUUUUAUAUUCAGAGGGUUGUACAAUCAUCACCAGUACCUAAUUUCAGAACAUUUUCAUCCCCUCAAAAAGAAAUCCUGUACUCACUGGCAGUCACUCCCUUUCCCCCAGUCCCCGGCCCUUAGCAAUCACUAAUUUAUGUUCUGUCUCUAUAGACUUGCCAAUUCUGGGCAGUUCAUAUAAAUGGAAUCAUACAGUAUGUGGGCUAAGGGCUUUUUAACUUCAAAGAAGAUGCAACCUGUAUCUGCAAGUAACCAGAAAAAUAAACUCUCAAUGUAAUCCUCAGAGUUAAUAUAAUGAUCAAUCGAGGUACCACAUUAAUAAAUUUUUGCAUAAUGUAAUCACAGCUGCAGCCAGGUGGGACUUGGUUAAGCUGUUUUUUUUUUUUUUUUUCUCAAGUAGGAAAUGGAUUCAAGCUCAGUGGGCACCUGAGUGCCUGAGUACAAUGGAACUCAGAAAUCAUGGAAACCCCUAGAGGGCACUCACCCCCUUAGGAGGUUCUGCUGGCUGAAGGGUGGUGAGUACACACUUAUGCUUUCCCUUCAUGUCCUGUGCUUCCUGGACUUCACAGACAAUCCCAGGCAGGCCAGAAGGUCAGAGUCCAAGCUCCUGGGCAUAGCUUGCAAGGUGCUCCUAAAUCUGCCUCUACCUGUUAUUAGUUUCCACACUCUACUGGUUCCUGCACACACCCUACACUCCAGCAACAACGAUGAUCUCACGCCACUGAACCACCUGUCCCCACCCCUUAUCACUCCAGCCACAGCUCACGUCCAAGCAGCCUCAAAUCUCUGCCUCUCCCUUGCCCCUGGUGAAUUGCCCACAACCUUAAGACCACCCACUCUAUAAGACCUUCUCUGGUCAAAAAACAAACAGGAUUAAAUUUCCCUCCUCUGACUUUCAACAGUACAUAAGAGUACCUAACUCUUGAAGUGCACCGACCCAUCAUACUAAAUCAAAAUCAGACUGUUUCUCCUGUGAAUUCCUCUAGUGCAGGGGGCAUGUCUUACUUGUUUUAUAAACAAUAGUAAAAAAAUGAUAAAGGUACCCAACCGAUAACCUGAAAUAUACUUUUUCAUGGAUACAAGUCAGAGGUUAGAGCAUGUAUUGUUUUAUGUUUUUUAUUUUUAUACAUUUUAGACUGCAAGCUUGUAGGUAUGGUGCUUUUCAAAAUUAGUAUGUGGAAGGAAGGACUAUGGAAUGUGCUUAAAAUGCAGAUUCCAGGGUACCCACUCAAACACUGUUUUUCUGCAAGUUUGGGGAGCGGCUCCAGAAUCUGCCCAUAUGAUAAUCUGCUCUCCAGGAGAUUCUGCUGAUGGGAAUCUGCAAUCCACUUUCCAAGAACUUUGUGCCUAGAUGUGCACAGCCUGGGUGGUCACAGUUUAAUUUGUACUUUCCAGUGGAAAAAAAAAAACCAAAACCAAGUACAACUAGUUUUAGCAUUAUAAUGAGAAGAAUGAUUACUAGUACUUGUUUUUGAUCACUUACAAAGACUCCUUCCUGCCUGCAUACCAUUGCUUAAAAGUGAGAGAUACUACCUACGAGGGAAGAAAAGAACAGAAAUAUUACCAAUUUAUCCAGUACUGUCACCCAAAGAAGAAAAAUGUGCGACUGCUAGCAAGCUACUUAAACUCUUGGGGACUGUUUUCUCAUCCAUAAAGUGAGAUAGCUGGAUCAUAAUAAACUUUUUUCUAAAUAUAAAAUCCUUUGAUUCUAUCAUUGCCAUUCCCAUUCCUGUCACUGCUGCAAUCUGACCUCAGUUCAUCCUCUUCUCACUCCCUGUCCUUCGGGAACAUCAGUCACCUCGCAUCCCUUACUCACCUGAUCCUCCUCCUCUCCAAGCACCUCAACCUUCAGGCCCAGCUCAAGAUAGGGUUUUUGCACUGGUGAUGUUUUGGUUUUCGUGGGGCCAUAAUAAUUAUGUAGCUUUUCUUUUUUUCCCUACUAAAGAACUCUAAGCAAGGCUGGAAAAGAAACAACAUGACAGAUGCUGUUGUCUCCCUACCACUAGGCAUGUUUCAGACCCUACAUAACUAAGUGGAAGGGUCAACAGUUUGUUUUACUACAGUGACCACAGAAACCUUAAAGGAGGAUAACCUAUAGGAGAUCCUGGAGGAGGCCAUAGGGGUAGGAGUCCUGUUUGUCCCUCCCACAGCCCUUUCAGCAAAGAACAGGAGUGCCCCUCAACCUCCGCCCCGUCCUGUCCCCCCAGAGGUAUCCUCCUGGUGUAGGUGCUGAUGUUAUCCUAACACUCCCCACAGUAAGCUCCUUCUGCAGAGAAGGCAGCUCGGAAGCAGCAAGUCAUCACACUCCUCACCCUCCCCAGCAGACCCUGAUCUUCCUCCGCCCAUAUCCUAGAGGAAAACAAGUCAGUGAGGUAUUCUGGAAAAGAUUUCUUCCAAUACUGGAUGUACUACACACUGGAACUGAGUGCUUGAGGCCUUCAAAAGUGGAGGCAUCACUGACUAUAAAUUAAAAACUACUAUUUACAGGUGGGUGGGAGGUCUCCCUUUAGUUAGGAAACAAGGAUAAAUGAGGAAUGAAAAGGGCAAAGCACUUGUGUUACUAGGAUUCUACACAGUGUAUUAAUGAUAUAGCUUGUUGGGAAUGGAAAUUAUAAUGACACAUAAAACACAGUACUAUUCUAUAAAAAGCAGUUUCAACUUUAAUUAAAUUCGAUGUACCAUCUUUCUUCUGAUUAAAUUUUUUACCUCUUUCCAAGAAUAUGUGUGUGUGUGUGUGUGUGUGUGUGUGUUUUAAAGGCUGCAAACAAAAUAUCCAAAAAGAAACAGGUUUCCUAACUGAGGGUCCAACUCUUAUGGAAAACAGCACUCCUCUCUAAGAAAGUUCCUUAGGCUCACGGUUUUCCUCAUGCUUCACCGUAAGAGAUUUACUACUCUCUGUGUAUGAAUAACUAACUAACCCUCCUUCCCUCUUUCUCCCCGUCUCAAGUCUAUUCCUGCGUGAUUUCCUGGCAUUUCCACUCCCCCAGCACUGACAAAUGUGCUGUAGCCACAGCAAGUGCAGCCCUGCUCUGGGGAUCAUACUCUCACCCCGCAGCAAUCCCUCCCCUGUGUACAGUGAGCUGUCACUUGUCAACCAGAAACUGCACCUUCUUCACCACUUUCCCUUUGGAAACCACCAGAAAAUCACUCUGCCUUUUGUUGUGGUGGUGGUGGUUGUUUUAUGCUUUGUUUUUCUUUUGGGGGGAGGAAUCAAAGGUCAUGCUCCCAUGUAGGGAAGGUAAAGACAAUUAGGUUUGGGUUCAGUGUAUACUGUUCUGGUGAUGGGUGCCCCCAGAUCUCACAAAUCACCGCUAAAUAACUCACUCAUGUAACCAAAUACCACCUGUUUCCCAAAAACCUAUGGAAAUAAA